UACGUAGGGGCCUAGCGUUGUCCGGAAUUAUUGGGCGUAAAGGGUGCGUAGGCGGUUUGGUAAGUCUGAUGUGAAAUCUAUGGGCUCAACUCAUAGUCUGCAUCGGAAACUGCCGGGCUUGAGUAUGGGAGAGGUGAGUGGAAUUCCUGGUGUAGCGGUGAAAUGCGUAGAUAUCAGGAGGAACACCUGUGGCGAAAGCGGCUCACUGGACCAUAACUGACGCUGAUGCACGAAAGCUAGGGGAGCAAACAGG
rnacentral:rRNA from 1 species